GAGAAAUAAAACUGUAUAUACAGUGUUGACUUUCAGUCUUACGCACACUAUUUACAGAGUGGAAGCCUGGAGAACACUUGACAAGAUGGCUAAAAUUAUUGUCUCAAGUAUAAUUUUGAUCAGUUUUAAAGCCACAGUGAUCUCUUCCCUCAACAUCCAGCAAACACCACAACGUCUACUAAUGACACCUGAGCAGAUUGAAGCGAAGCUCAACUGCCGUCAUGGUGAUGCCAGCUAUCCCUACAUGUACUGGUAUCAACAAAAGACAGUCAGUGACUCCAUUGAGUUCAUUGGAAUGCUUCAGUAUGGAAUAUCCAUUCCUGAGGAGAAGUUUAAAGCACGAUUUAACAUUUCAGGACAUGCCACAGGGGAUGCAUUUCUGCUCAUAUCCAGUUUAACUCCUGAGGACAGUGCAGUAUAUUUCUGUGCUGCUAGUAAGCACAGCCACACAUCUUCCCUCUCUGUUUAACAAAAAGCUUCACACCAAACACCUGCA